GGAUGUGAGGGGAAUCUGGCUGUGACGUCUGUCACACCGUUUUAUUUCCAGGGUUUGCUCAGCUGAGCUGGCUGGCUAGGGACACACUUUCCUCCCCCACUGUUCCAUGUGUGUCCCUCCUGAAGCUGCAUGCUUGGUUGAAGAGGACAACCACCCCUGAGAGAGGAGGACUGUUUCCUCGGUCAAGGGUGUGCGAGUGGCUGUGCUUCCUGCUAGAGGCUCCAAACGAGCUCUUGUGGUAGUCGUCCUGUGAAGGGCACAGUCAGUGGCACUGGUGCCUUCACU
rnacentral:snRNA from 1 species